UACGAAGGGGCUAGCGUUGCUCGGAAUCACUGGGCGUAAAGCGCACGUAGGCGGAUUGCUAAGUCAGGGGUGAAUCCUGGAGCUCAACUCCAGAACUGCCUUGAUACUGGCGAUCUCGAGUCCGGGAGAGGUGAGUGGAACUGCGAGUGUAGAGGUGAAAUUCGUAGAGUAUUCGCAAGAACACCCGUGGCGAAGGCGGCUACUCUGGACGGUACUGACGCUGAGACGCGAAAGCGUGG
rnacentral:rRNA from 1 species